CUUUCCCUCUUUCUUCAUGCCUUACACAUGCAAGUCGAACGGUAACGGGCCUUCGGGUGCCGACGAGUGGCGAACGGGUGCGUAAUACAUCGGAACGUGCCCGAUCGUGGGGGAUAACGAGGCGAAAGCUUUGCUAAUACCGCAUACGAUCUACGUAUGAAAGCAGGGGACCGCAAGGCCUUGCGCGGACGGAGCGGCCGAUGGCAGAUUAGGUAGUUGGUGGGAUAAAAGCUUACCAAGCCGACGAUCUGUAGCUGGUCUGAGAGGAUGAUCAGCCACACUGGGACUGAGACACGGCCCAGACUCCUACGGGAGGCAGCAGUGGGGAAUUUUGGACAAUGGGCGCAAGCCUGAUCCAGCCAUGCCGCGUGCAGGAUGAAGGCCUUCGGGUUGUAAACUGCUUUUGUACGGAACGAAAAGCCUUCUUUUAAUACAGGAGGGUCAUGACGGUACCGUAAGAAUAAGCACCGGCUAACUACGUG
rnacentral:rRNA from 1 species